GGCCCUGUGCGCGGGAACCGACGUCCGGGAGUGGUGGCCGGAGGGAGAGGAGAAAGGUGGCAGGGACGGAGCAGCUGGCUGUGGGGGGUUAGAGGAAUGGGCAGGGGGCUGGCUCUGCAACCAGACAGGAGGUCGGUGCGAUGAAUGGACAGGUUACAUGCGGACAGACGGAUGGAUGGAUGGACGGACCAGCGGCUGGAGUCUCAGACUCACACAGUGGGAGGGAAAGAGGGACGGUUAGACAUACCAGCAGUCUGAAGGAUGGAUGGGAGAGCUGGCAGAUGGUUGGAGGAGGGAAGGAUGGAUGGAUGAGUGGAAGGGCAGAUGGAAACACAGUUGGAUGUAACAGAUAGAUGGUGAGGGGAACCGCUGGCCAAAUGGAUAUAGAGUCGAAUGCCCAGAAGUGCAGAAAGAAAAGGGCCAGACAGCCACUAGAAACGGAAAACGGGAGAAUGCACUGACUGGGCUGUGAGGUUGUAGCAGGUCAGCUUUGCAUUCUUCCCGGUGAGAGCACGUUUCCUAACUCACCUGAUUUGAAGGGACCAAAGUUUCCAUCCUCCCCUCUCUAGGGCCACCAUGUGCCCACAGUGAGAGGCCCAUGCCUGGCUCAAAGUGUGGCCAAUCCCAAAAGAGGACUCCCCGAGUCAGCCAAAGUGCUCCAGGCCUGUCCCAAAACACUGGCAAGGAAGGAGGAAACUGGGCAGGACCCAUUCCUGAACACAGAGCCAUUUGCUAUCUUCACCUCGAAUACUUAGGAGGUCCCUUUGACCACAAGAUUCCAGUGACCAAAGAGAGGCCACCCCAGCAUGGCCUCUGUCACUCUCUUUUUCAAAAGGAAAGCAGAAGCUGUGAGGGCGUGUGAACACACAUCUCACGCAUGUGACCCGCAUGUGCAUAGACAUCCUCUUUAAGCUUCCAUUUCUGGGUAGUCCCUCUCUGGUUUUUAACAGCUGAGGACGUGCAGUUGUGUCUCCUCAUAGAUCUUCUACCUGGCCUUGCAUACGCUGUGCUUAAUUUGAGCACUCACUGGAUGGACUAGAAAAGGGACUACAAAACAAGAUGGUUUCAAGGGGCUUCACAGGUGUGCCAAUAGCCUACCAUGAAUCCCAGGAUGGAUGCCCUCCCUGAAAGAUAUUCAAGGUCAUCUAAAAGGACAACAAUGAAAACAAGACCUGUGCUUCAAACAUAAUUUCUAUACGACAUAUGAUACCGGAAGCAGUGACAUAUUUUAUAAAGUCCUUCUCUGGUUUUUAACAGCUGAGGAAGUGAUACUCUGAUACUAGGGGUCCUUUUGGUUAGAAGCAUUUUUUGAUGUUUAAUUUCUACUCAGUUUUUCAAGAAAACAUACAUGGUAUUGUUUACACUGUUCUGAGUACUUGACACUAUUCCUCAGAACAGCCUGAGGAAGAAGGUACUAUUAUUAACCCAUUUUACAGAUGAGGCAUGGAGAAGCUGGGUAACUUCCCCAAGGCCACAUAGCUAGUAGGAAGUGGCAGAACUGGAAUCUGAACGCAGGUGUUCAGAUUUCAGAGUCUAAGUUUUCCACUGCCAGGCUCUACUGACUCUCUAUAAACAAGUUCACAUUGGAAAAAUAAGACAAUAGUGUCCCCCUCCCUGCCAAGGCUAACAAUCUUCCUGCCCAGAAGAAACCACCGUUAACAGUUUCCUUCCGGAAAAAUAAGCACAGAAGAAAAUGGAAGGCAGUGGCCACUAGGUGGCAGACCUCAGCCCCCUAGAUACAGGACUUAGGAAGCCAAAAGCCUGGGACACAGGCGAUGAUUAAAAAAACUUCCAGCAAAGGCAAUUGUCACAGGUCAAUCCUAGGCUCAUGGCUUAGAGGAUGCAAGACACUUGAAACUUGGUUGCUUUGGAGUGGGACUGAUCCCACUUUAACCGGAACCCUGCCACGGAUAAGCUGUGUGACCUUGGUCUUUGUUGGAAGAGGGACCACAAGGAAGCAUCUGACUACUCCAUCAUCUUGGCCUCGCCUCCCCGCCCCCACCCCCACCCUCGCCACCCAGUUUCCAAGGAGUGGCUGGUGGAUUCAAAUUGCCAACCUUUUUGGUUAGCAGCCAUAGCACACCACAGCUCUUAACUGCUAUGCCACCAGGGCUCCUUCAUUAAUAUUAUAUGCAAGUAAAAUUUUGCUGAAGAUAAUCCAAAAGCAGUUGUUGCAGUACUUGGAUAGGGAACUGCCAUAAAUUCAAGCCAGAUUCAGAAGAGGGCAUGGAAUGAAGGAUACCAUUGUGAUAUCAGGUGGAUCUUGGCUGAAAGCAUAGAAUACUGGAAAAAUGUUUACCUGUGUUUACUCAAUUGUGUGGACCGUAACAAAUUAUGGAUAAAAUUGUUAAGAAUGGGAAUUCCAGAACACUAAUUGUGCUCAUGAGGAACCUGUACAUAGACAAAGAGGCAGUCAUUUGAGCGAACAAGGGGAUACUGUGUGUUUUAAAGUCAGGAAAGGUGUGCUUUAGGGUAAUAUCCUUUCACCACACUUAUUCAAUCUGUAGGCUGAGCAAAUAAUCCGAGAAGGUGGACUAUGUGAAGAAGAAUGUGGCAUCAGGAUUGGAGGAAGACUUAUUAACAACCUGUAAUAUGCAGAUGACACAACCUUGCUUGCUGAAAGUGAAGAGGACUUGAAGCACGUACUGAUGAAGAUCAAAGACUACAGCCUCCAUUAUGGAUUACACCUCAACAUAAAAAAGGAAAACUCCUCACAACUGAACCAAUAAGCAACAUCAUGAUAAAUGGAGAAAAGACUGACGUUGUCAAGGAUUUCACUUUACUUGGAUUCACAAUCAAUGCCCAUGAAAGCAGCAGUCAAGAAAUCAAAUGACGUAUUGUAUUAUGCUGGACAAAUCUUCUGCAGAAGACCUCUUUGAAGUGUUGAAAAGCAAGUAUGUCACUUUGAGGACUAAGGUGCACCUGACCCAAGCCACGGUGUUUUCAAUCACUUAAAAUGCAUGCAACAGCUGAACAAUGAAUAAGGCAGGCUGAAGAAAAACUGAUGUAUUUGAUUUACAGUGAUGGUGAAGAAUACUGACUAUACCAUGGGCUGCCAGAAGAAUGAACAAAACUGUCCUGGAAUACAUACAGCAAGAAUGCUCCUUGGAAGCAAGGAUGGUGAAACUUCAUCUCACGUACUUUCAACAUGUUAUCAGGAGGGACUAGUCCCUGGAGAAGGACAUCAUGCUUGGUAAAGUAGAUGGUUAGCAAAAAAGAGGAUGACCCUCAACAAGAUGGGCUGACAUGAUGGCUGCAACAAUGGGCUCAACCACAGCAACAACUGUGAAGAUUCUGCAGGAUCAGGCAAUGUUUUAUUCUGUUAUACACAGUGUCGCUGUGAGUCAGAACAGACUCAAGGACACCUAACAACAACACAUAUUAUAUGUGCAUAACCUUAAACUGCAUAGCUUUUUUUUUUAUGUUUUAGUUUUCAUGGUAAAAAAGUGUCACACCCACCCUAAAAAUAGGCACAUAUUGAUCUGCUCAUUACAAAAUGUGGUCUCUAAUGGAGAUUACUUGGGGCAGUGAUGGUUCAGUGGUAGAAUUCUCCCUUUUAUGUGGGGGACCCAAGUUAGAUUCCCAACAUAAGUGCCUCAGUGCAGCUACCACCAAUGAAAAGUAUGCAUUGUUAUGAUGCUGAACCGGUUUCAAUGAAGCUUCCAGAGUAAGACAAACUAGAAAGAAAGGUAUGGCCAGCUCCUUGCAAAAAUCUGUGAGUGAAAACCCUACAGAUCACAACAGUCCAAUUCUGUUGUGCAUGGGGUCACCAUGAGUUGGGGGCCAGUUUGACAACAAAUGGAAAUUAUGAUUAACAUGGUACCCACAGAGCACUUUGCAUGGAGUGUUUUCAUGUCACCAAUAUUUACUAUGAUCUUAGAGAUAGCCAAGAAUCACUUUUGGCCUUUCACAACCAUUCCGAUUCCUCAGAACUAUGCUCUGGAUUAGCCUAACACUUGCUGAUGACCUAUCAUUCCUAAAAUGCCCAAGGGUCACACUGUCUUGCCUUACUGGACCAAAAUAUCUUAUGUUACUUAAAAUAUAAUCUUGCCAAUAAAAAUGCAGUACCACUUUUUUCAUAUUUUGUAAAAGCAUAGUUUAUAAUGCUAAUAAUUUCCUAUAAUUCAUUCCAAAGGAAAAUCAUUAAUAGAGCCAUAUUCCUCACAAGAUCCAAAAUUCAGCAAUAAGAGGGCACAAACCAUCCAUAAGACAAGAUAUAAAUUAGCAAUGGAGAAACAAGCCUAAUGAUUAUAAUGUCCAGAUGGAAAUGAAUAACUGAGUCAUUGUCAAAUCCAAGAGCAUCUUAAUAAGUUCCUGCAUCAUCUUUGUUGAUUGAAUUUGACUGGAAGAUAUCAGAAAAUGAUUACUACCCGAAAACAUAUCUUCAUUUCCUAUGCUCAUUAGCAUUUGGCCUGUGAGUUACUCACAUUUUAUAUUGAAAGGGGAAUUUAUUCCCAAAAAGGUCCUUAGGUUUCUAACCCUCAAAAGUAGCCCAUGUUUAAAAAAAAAAAAAAAAAAACCCAAACUGGAAUUAACUUAUUAGAAUUAAAAUACUGAGACUCUAGUAUUUGGACAAAUUUUUUUAUCAAAGAAAGAAUUCAAACACUUCUUUUACCAGGCAAGCUGGUAACUACAAGUUGUCAUGGAAACAGGAGGUAUUCAAAUUAUACGAGGAAUGACGUUCUUCGUCUAGCUAGGUGCUCAUCUCCUGUAAAUAGGGAAAAAUUAUAGCGGAAAUCUAUUAUAUUUCUUUCAAAUUUGCAUUAAAAACAAUCAUUUCCUUUAUUUUAUGUAGAAACACAUACAUACACAUACACACACAGCCUCACUCUAAUAAACUGGAGAAUUAAAAUUACUUGCAAAAGGAUUGGUGCGUAAAUAAAAAGACAUAAAAUGAAAAUGAAUCUCAUGAUAUGAAUCUAUUGACGCACAACGAAUGGAUGCAAGAGUGGAAAUGAGAUAAUGUAAUACCUCCCUCACCUGUAACGGCACAUAUUUUUCUUCAACAGCAUUCCAAAAACCCCUUGCUGUCCAGUAUAGGACAGAGUAGAACUACCCCAUAGGGUCUCUAAGGCUGUAGUCUUUAUGGAAGCAGACUGCCACAUCUUUCUCCCGCAGAGUGGGCUAGUGGUUUCAAACUGCCAAGCUUUUAGUUAGCAGCCAGUCAUUUUAACCACCGUGCCAUCAGGGCUCCUCUCAAUAGCAUAGGGACUAUAUUUAUAGAAUGUCCAGGUCCAGAACAGUUCUCUGAAGUUGAGGCAACUUGAGAACAGGGGUAGGGUCACCACUGCUGGUUACAGCACAGGAUCUUGUUAGUCCACAGAUUUCUAAGCGAGACAGUGAGGGGGUGCGGGCAAUGUGGUGCUGGGCAGGCACCAUUAAUUCAGUUAAUCAGUAAUAAACACAUGGCAAAAGCCAAUUUUGUAGGGAGAGUAUCUGCAAUGCGGAGGGCCUACGAAGUCACCAUUCUCAUUCAAGAGGCAGUCUGGAAUUCCUUCUGAUCAGGGUAAUCCUGUUGUUGUUAGGUGCCAUCAAGUCAAUUUGGACUCACAGACACCCCAUGUAACAGAGCAGAACACCCCAUAGGGUUUCCUAGACUGUAAUCUUUACAGGAGCAGAUUGCCAGGUCUUUUUUCCUGCAGAGUCACUGGAUGGGUUUGAAUCGGUGACCUUUUGGUUAGCAGCCGAGCACUAACCUAGGAGGAACAUAUUUUAAUUACUUUUUUCAGGUGAAAAUAAUUCCUCAUCUCACUCCAAAAAAAGAAAUUUUUUUUUGUGUGUGUGUGUGUUUUGCAACCUAGAGUGGUGGAGUCUCAAUGGAGCUCUUCUCCAAACACUUAGAUAAUAAUUCAAAUUAAAAUACCAACAGCAACAAUAGUGAGAAUACUUAACUCUCUGCCAUCUUUAAUUCCCUCCUCUAAUCCUCACACCAACCUUAGGAGGUAGGUAGUAUCAUUAUCCCUAUUUCAUACAUUGGAAGCUCACAGCAGUUAGAUAACAUUUCCAGUCAUAGUCACAGAGUGACAAGCAAAGUGUUCAAACCGAAGUCUACCUGGUG